UGGGGAAUAUUGCACAAUGGGGGAAACCCUGAUGCAGCGACGCCGCGUGAGCGAGGAAGUAUUUCGGUAUGUAAAGCUCUAUCAGCAGGGAAGAAAAUGACGGUACCUGACCAAGAAGCCCCGGCUAACUACGUGCCAGCAGCCGCGGUAAUACGUAGGGGGCAAGCGUUAUCCGGAUUUACUGGGUGUAAAGGGAGCGUAGGCGGCCGUGUAAGCCAGAAGUGAAAGCCCGGGGCCCAACCGCGGACUGCUUUGGAACUAUAUGGCUGGAUUGCAGGAGAGGCAAGUGGAAUUCCUAGUGUAGCGGUGAAAUGCGUAGAUAUUAGGAGGAACACCAGUGGCGAAGGCGGCUUGCUGGACUGUGAAUGACGCUGAGGCUCGAAAGCGUGGGGAGCAAACAGGAUUAGAUACCC
rnacentral:rRNA from 1 species